rnacentral:rRNA from 1 species
UUCCGGGUGAUCCUGCCGGACCCGACUGCUAUCAGAGUGGGACUAAGCCAUGCGAGUCAACAUAGCAAUAUGUGGCAUACGGCUCAGUAACACGUAGUCAACAUGCCCAGGGGACGUGGAUAACCUCGGGAAACUGAGGAUAAACCGCGAUAGGUCAUCACUUCUGGAAUGGGUAAUGACUUAAAUCUAUAUGGCCCCUGGAUUGGACUGCGGCCGAUCAGGCUGUUGGUGAGGUAAUGGCCCACCAAACCUGUAACCGGUACGGGCUCUGAGAGGAGGAGCCCGGAGAUGGGCACUGAGACAAGGGCCCAGGCCCUAUGGGGCGCAGCAGGCGCGAAACCUCUGCAAUAGGCGAAAGCUUGACAGGGUUACUCUGAGUGAUUUCCGUUAAGGAGAUCUUUUGGCACCUCUAAAAAUGGUGCAGAAUAAGGGGUGGGCAAGUCUGGUGUCAGCCGCCGCGGCAAUACCAGCACCCCGAGUGGUCGGGACGUUUAUUGGGCCUAAAGCAUCCGUAGCCGGUUCUACAAGUCUUCCGUUAAAUCCACCUGCUUAACAGAUGGGCUGCGGAAGAUACUAUAGAGCUAGGAGGCGGGAGAGGCAAGCGGUACUCGAUGGGUAGGGGUAAAAUCCGUUGAUCCAUUGAAGACCACCAGUGGCGAAGGCGGCUUGCCAGAACGCGCUCGACGGUGAGGGAUGAAAGCUGGGGGAGCAAACCGGAUUAGAUACCCGGGUAGUCCCAGCUGUAAACGAUGCAGACUCGGUGAUGAGUUGGCUUAUUGCUAACUCAGUGCCGCAGGGAAGCCGUUAAGUUUGCCGCCUGGGGAGUACGGUCGCAAGACUGAAACUUAAAGGAAUUGGCGGGGGAGCA